UUAGGGUGCGUUUUAUCGUCAACCUGUAGUUGAGCUGCUCAACUUUUUGGUUGACCAUAAAACGGUUUUUACGUUGGUUGAGUAGAACUUUUUGGUUGAACUACGCAGUUACCCAUAAAACGAAAAUUGAUCUCAACAUAUGGAAAGCUCCUCCUCCUUUCCCAUCCCUUUCAGAAAUGCUUAAUUGUAAAUUUAAUAGAAAUAAAAAAAAGUUGGUUUAGGAGAUAACGGUGUCGGUAAAUUUUUCAAAAAUAUUGAUAAUAGUAUUACGUAGUUUAUUGAAAUUUGCUAAAAUUUUGUAAUAUAUUGAUUAGCGUGGAGUAGCAGACGAAAAACGUCAACAUGAAAAAUUUGUAACAACAAAAUGCAGAUGACUCAAUUUCUUCAAUGUCUAUUCAGAAGUUAUUUACUUAUCUCUAAUCUCAAAUUUCUGGAAUGGUAAUAAAUGUUAAUGUAGGAAUUAUUACAAAGUUUAACAUAUUUUUAUUUUAUAUUUUUUUAUUUUAUAUAUUUUUAUUUUUUUAUUUAAUAUUUUACCUAUUGGCCUUAAAACACCUUCACACUUGUGAAGGUGUUUUAAUAUUUAUUGUGAUAGAAAAACAAAUUUACAAACGUGUACCACGAACCACGUGCCACUCCCUAUCUAAAGAAAGCCGUCUGCUGUGAUGGCUUGAACAAAAAAAAGGUUGCCAGAUUAAAGAAUUAUUAUAAAGUGGGAGGGUCAACCAACUUGAAUUUAGUUCAACCACAGUCUGGACUGUGGUUGAGCUCGCAAAAUUUGGUCGAGCACAACCUUGGUUGAACUUUUUGUUAACCAUAAAACGGAAAUCGAGCUCAACUGUGACGAAUUGGUUAACGAAAAAAUACUGAUUGAGCUCAAUUUAGGUUCGGGUUGAGCUAAAAAGUUGACGAUAAAACGCACCCUUAUCAGAGUCAUAGAACCCUGGUUGGUUCACUAUGGCAUUCCCCCCUUGCAAAAAAGGGGAUACCUUGUGAAGCCAUAUGGCAGUUUUUGCUCCGACGCUUGCACUGCCUCUACCGGGCUUGUUAGGCAUUCGCCAAUCACAAUAUCCCUUUGUAAAACAACUGGGCCAAUUGCGAAGGAUUUUACUUAGCCAUCAAAUUUGGGAGGAGUCUCUAACAUAAACACAGAGAAUUUUCUAAGUUUUUAAAGUGAAACCGCCAAACACACGACAAACAAUCACAAAUUGAUAUUGUUCAAAUGUGUUUUAAAUUUUGUUUUCAAAUACAUUCGUAAAAAGAGCAUACGCCACAGGUUUAAAUUAGUUUAUAGCUUUAUCUGUGAAUUACAAACACUUAGCAGGUACAGAAAGUUGAUGGAAAAGUGACUUAUGUCACUUAACUUGUAGCAAACAAGGAAACUGGUAAGUUAUGGAGACUUAUCAACUGAACUAAUCAUUGAACAAAAAACUGGUAAAGUUAUGAGAAAGUGAUUUAGUGAGUGAACUGUAACGAACAAAGGAACUGGUAAACUGAUGGAAAAGUGAUUCAUGUCACUGAAGUGGUAACGAACAAAAAACAUUAAGCAUGUUUUGAUAAUUUGGCAUUGGAAACUUUUACAGCUUUUGACUGCGAUAACAUCAAAUUCUUCAAGCGAACUGACUCGAAAUGGUAACGGACGCCAACAUAUUCUCUUAUUAGCAUACAUCUGACUAAUCGGAUUGAAAUGAGAUUCAAUUAUUGACUCAAUUACCCGGAAAGUUUGAAACAUAUUCACUGUCACGAAAAUGAGGUUACCACGGGUUCUCAAGCCAGUGAAAUGGUCAAAAUUGAAAUCAGGUGGUAAUUCUAAUUCGUUGCAUUGCACUGAAUGUUUACAAUCAAGACAUACUGUUACAGACGGUCGUGCUUUUAACAUGUAUCCACAUACAUCAUAUAUAGCGAUAUCAUUAAUAUAGUCGACUUUUUCUCGU
rnacentral:lncRNA from 1 species